rnacentral:sRNA from 1 species
UGUGCCAACGGAUGGGUACAAGCGGUCAAGGAUGACUGCUCAAGGACAUCGCAGGACGCGAUUCAUCAGGAUGAUGAGCAAGGAUUAAAGGGAUUAUGGAAACGUGGGCGGGUCAUACCGCCCCUUUUUUC